CGAUGAUGCCAGCUUGCUGGUGGAUUAGUGGCGAACGGGUGAGUAACACGUGAGUAACCUGCCCUUAACUCUGGGAUAAGCCUGGGAAACUGGGUCUAAUACCGGAUAUGACUCCUCAUCGCAUGGUGGGGGGUGGAAAGCUUUAUUGUGGUUUUGGAUGGACUCGCGGCCUAUCAGCUUGUUGGUGAGGUAAUGGCUCACCAAGGCGACGACGGGUAGCCGGCCUGAGAGGGUGACCGGCCACACUGGGACUGAGACACGGCCCAGACUCCUACGGGAGGCAGCAGUGGGGAAUAUUGCACAAUGGGCGAAAGCCUGAUGCAGCGACGCCGCGUGAGGGAUGACGGCCUUCGGGUUGUAAACCUCUUUCAGUAGGGAAGAAGCGAAAGUGACGGUACCUGCAGAAGAAGCGCCGGCUAACUACGUGCCAGCAGCCGCGGUAAUACGUAGGGCGCAAGCGUUAUCCGGAAUUAUUGGGCGUAAAGAGCUCGUAGGCGGUUUGUCGCGUCUGCCGUGAAAGUCCGGGGCUCAACUCCGGAUCUGCGGUGGGUACGGGCAGACUAGAGUGAUGUAGGGGAGACUGGAAUUCCUGGUGUAGCGGUGAAAUGCGCAGAUAUCAGGAGGAACACCGAUGGCGAAGGCAGGUCUCUGGGCAUUAACUGACGCUGAGGAGCGAAAGCAUGGGGAGCGAACAGGAUUAGAUACCCUGGUAGUCCAUGCCGUAAACGUUGGGCACUAGGUGUGGGGGACAUUCCACGUUUUCCGCGCCGUAGCUAACGCAUUAAGUGCCCCGCCUGGGGAGUACGGCCGCAAGGCUAAAACUCAAAGGAAUUGACGGGGGCCCGCACAAGCGGCGGAGCAUGCGGAUUAAUUCGAUGCAACGCGAAGAACCUUACCAAGGCUUGACAUGAACCGGAAAUACCUGGAAACAGGUGCCCCGCUUGCGGUCGGUUUACAGGUGGUGCAUGGUUGUCGUCAGCUCGUGUCGUGAGAUGUUGGGUUAAGUCCCGCAACGAGCGCAACCCUCGUUCUAUGUUGCCAGCGCGUUAUGGCGGGGACUCAUAGGAGACUGCCGGGGUCAACUCGGAGGAAGGUGGGGACGACGUCAAAUCAUCAUGCCCCUUAUGUCUUGGGCUUCACGCAUGCUACAAUGGCCGGUACAAAGGGUUGCGAUACUGUGAGGUGGAGCUAAUCCCAAAAAGCCGGUCUCAGUUCGGAUUGGGGUCUGCAACUCGACCCCAUGAAGUCGGAGUCGCU
rnacentral:rRNA from 1 species